UGGGGAAUCUUGCGCAAUGGGCGAAAGCCUGACGCAGCCAUGUCGCGUGAAUGAUGAAGGUCUUAGGAUUGUAAAAUUCUUUCACCGGGGACGAUAAUGACGGUACCCGGAGAAGAAGCCCCGGCUAACUUCGUGCCAGCAGCCGCGGUAAUACGAAGGGGGCUAGCGUUGCUCGGAAUUACUGGGCGUAAAGGGAGCGUAGGCGGACUGUUAAGUUAGAGGUGAAAGCCCAGGGCUCAACCUUGGAAUUGCCUUUGAUACUGGCAGUCUUGAGUACGGAAGAGGUAUGUGGAACUCCGAGUGUAGAGGUGAAAUUCGUAGAUAUUCGGAAGAACACCAGUGGCGAAGGCGACAUACUGGUCCGUUACUGACGCUGAGGCUCGAAAGCGUGGGGAGCAAACAGG
rnacentral:rRNA from 1 species